CCUGGCGAAACCUAUGAGAUCUACUUUUUAUUCAAAGAGUUGCUGUGGAUUUAGCUUUUCAACGUAUUUGCAUAGAUUUCUUCAUCCAUUUUACUAGCCAACAGGAAAGUUUUCCACUGAGCUACGUUCAACAUCUCAGUAUUGACUCAGACUUGACUCCUCUCCAUCCAGUAUAUUGGAUCUCACUUUGUUGCCCAGGCUGGAGUACAGUAGAAUGAUCAUAGCUCGCUGCAACCUCAAUCUCUUGGGCUCAGGUGACCCUCCCACCUCAGCCUUCUGAGUAGCUGGGACUACAAGCACAAACCAUCAUAUUUGGACCCUGUGUUAUUCAGACAAUGCAACAAAAAAACACCAUCUUAGAAACAAAGAGCAGCCUUCAUCAGCCAACUGGACCUGCCGGUGCCUUGAUCUUGGACUUCCCAGCUGAGUGAACUGUGAGAAAUAAAUUUCUAUUCAAUAUAAAUUAUCCAGUCACAGAUUUUUUUCAUGGCUGUGCGAAUGGAUUAAAACAAUAGGUUCUGUCUUUAGAGCAUGAGGAAGAAGCACCAGUACAGUAGACAAACCCCUUAAGUUUUAAUCUGUGAGCUCUAAUUUUCAGGAGAAGGCAAUGUGGAAAUGAAUGCUUAAGAGAAGUACCUGUUGCAUCAAUUCCUUGUCCUGAUAGAAAUUUGUGCUACAUUGAUCUUACCCCUCAGGUAUGAGCCUUAGUGGCUGCACAUAUCUAUAAAGUGGAAGCUGAUGAACACUACAAGGAAAUAUGGGAAGGGAGGAGAACAUAAUUUUAUGACUUACUGACCUAUCCACUCAACUCUUGGAUAUAAACAACUCCCAUUCCUACUCCCAAGACAAGCAGCCUUACUGUUUUCAGGAAUUCAGCCAAAUGCACGAUAGAGACCACUUAAAAGUUAAUUUUGAUAAAGUUUAAUAAAUGCAUUUUGAGUAAUUCAGGAUUUUAUGGGCCCAGAGAGAAGGGUCACCUAAUGCUAACUAGAAACAUCAGGGAAUAUUUUCGGGAGGAGGAAAUCUAUAUCCCGAGAACUAAGCAAUACGUGAUUUCUUUCCUGCUGCCCUGCUACGUUUGAAUGGUUCUCUGCUCAAUGCACUACAUGAUUUAGAAUUGACUUUUUCUAUACAAUAGAAAGUUUAAAUUGGUAACCUCUGCUCCUAUUGUAACUAACUGAAAAAGUUUAUGUCUUGGAAACUAAACUGGCUCCCUGUUGGCAGAAACCUCUUGACCUCAUUCCACGUGUUUAUAAAUACACAAGUGUAUCUUGAACAGAUAAUAAUACAAUUUUCUCCACAGGGCAUGUUUGCUUCUAUCAGUUUAGGCUAUUUUCAAAUUUUAUUUUUAGGGAAAACAAAGUCCCCAAAUUAAAUAAUUUGUUUGCUUUUCCUAUAAGAUAUAGUUUUCCUUUCUUAGGGGUCAGCUUUUCUGAAAUAAAUCCUGUCUCUAACACAGCCUGCUUCAUACAUGAAAUCCUUUACUGCUAUUUUGUAUCUGCUUAAACAUGAACCCAAAUGUCCACUGUUUUUUAUGACUCUGUACAAUAAACUUCAUAUAACUGACAAUGCUGAGAAAUGGCUCUACCCAUCCCUUUUCCUUCUGGCCCUUAAAAAGGGGUAAUUAGAGUAUAAGAUUUCAGGGCAAAUACAAACAAAUAAACAAAAACUUGGCUGAAUGUAUUAUAUUUUGGCUGCGCAUCCUACCU
rnacentral:lncRNA from 1 species